rnacentral:rRNA from 1 species
CGCAAGCCUGAUGCAGCGACGCCGCGUGAGUGAAGAAGGCCUUCGGGUCGUAAAGCUCUUUUCUGCGUGACGAGCAAGGACGGUAGCGCAGGAAUAAGUCUCGGCUAACUACGUGCCAGCAGCCGCGGUAAAACGUAGGAGACAAACGUUAUCCGGAGUUACUGGGCGUAAAGGGCGUGCAGGCGGUCUGUUAAGUCUGGCGUGAAAGCUCUCGGCUAAACCGGGAGAGGUCGUUGGAUACUGACGGACUAGAGGACGGUAGAGGCGUGUGGAAUUCCGGGUGUAGUGGUGAAAUGCGUAGAGAUCCGGAGGAACACCAGUGGCGAAGGCGACACGCUGGGCCGUACCUGACGCUAAGACGCGACAGCAUGGGGAGCGAACGGGAUUAGAAACCCCGGUAGUCCAUGCCGUAAACGAUGCCAGCUAGGUGUUCAAGACGCGCAAGCGGCUGGGGUACCGAAGCCAACGCGAUAAGCUGGCCGCCUGGGGAGUACGGUCGCAAGGCUA